rfam:Flavobacterium branchiophilum FL-15, complete genome.
GAUAGUAGGUCUAUCAGUGACGACUUUCAGGAGUAGUUACUACUUGAGCGAAGCGGAUGCACGGAUACUUAAAAACAAUAAAAAAUAAUCCGUAAACCACUUUGUGCUGCAUUAUUAGGAAACUAUGGUGUGGUGAGCGACAAAGAAAAACGGCAACAAGAUUGCUGUAGGU